UACGGAGGGUGCGAGCGUUAAUCGGAAUUACUGGGCGUAAAGCGCGCGUAGGCGGCGGAUUAAGUCGGAUGUGAAAGCCCCGGGCUCAACCUGGGAAUUGCACUCGAUACUGGUCGGCUAGAGUACGAGAGAGGGAGGUAGAAUUCCACGUGUAGCGGUGAAAUGCGUAGAUAUGUGGAGGAAUACCAGUGGCGAAGGCGGCCUCCUGGCUCGAUACUGACGCUGAGGUGCGAAAGCGUGGGGAGCAAACAGG
rnacentral:rRNA from 1 species